rnacentral:lncRNA from 1 species
CCCGGUUGCGCCCCCCCCCCCCCCGCAGGGCUUCUCCCUCUUUGGUUGGAACUCCCAGCACUUAGCUCUCUCGCUGCUCCCUCCCCUCCCAGCACAGCGUGCCCAGUUCUCCAGCCUCUCUAGGUUGAGCCUCCCAGCAGGUCUCUCCUCACUGCGGUCCACCUUCUCCUGCCACAGUCAUCCCCAAGAUCUGACAGAGAUCUGACUAUCACUCCUGGUCGUCAGGGGCUCCUCGUGGCUUCCAGAAUCCCCAGCCUGGCCUCUUCAGCCUCCACCCGCCUCCCCAGGCUCACUCCAGUCAGGACACUUUGGUUAAAGCCCUGCUGUGUGCCCGUCACUGCCCCAAGGGCUGGAAGGGGAAAGGCUGCCUCUGCUAGGGAGGCUAACUCAGCAGUGGGCAGCCCUGGUGCCCGCGAGAAAUGCCGGCUGGCUUGGGGGAUUCAGGGAGGGAGGGAGGGAGGGAGAGAGAGAGAGAGAGAGAGACAGAGAGAGGGGGAGAGAGAGAGGGAGGGAAGGAAGGAAGGAAGGAGGGAGGGAGGGAGAGAGAGGGAGGGAGGGAGAGAGACAGAGAGAGGGAGGGAGGGAGAAAGAAAGAGAAAGAAAGAAGAAAGCUUCUAUUCUACCCACCAGGAUUCUCCCAACAGCAGGGGUAGUAUGAAGGGCUGGAGUUCCAGCAGAAGGACCAGAGUUCCAAUCCUACCUCUGCUACUUUGUGAUUUGGGGCAAGUUUACCAUCCCUUCCCAGCACAAAGGGGUCGGGCCAGAUGGCCCCCAUCUAUGGUUCUAUAUCUGGGGAAGGGCACGACUCAGCGCAGCUCAUGGAACUGCCAAAACAAUGCAGGUGCCGAGUCCAGAGAAGUCUGGGAAGACUCGGCCCGAGGUGGGGACUCUGGAACACAGCAUAUAAUGGCAGACGUGUGCUGUCUCUUUCCUCCCACCCCCUUCUCCCCCCACUCAUCUCCUCCUUGCCUCCUCCCUCUUUCUUUCCAUCCCUCUCCUCUCUCCCUUCCCCCUCCCUCUCCUCUCCUUCCUCUCCCCCCCCUUUUUCUCUUCUCUUAGCCCCCCCCCCACCUCUU